GCUCAAGUGGUGUAGUGGCUUGAUCAUUGGACUAUCACCCCAGAGACCUGGGUUUGAAUCCCCGCUUGGCCA